rnacentral:rRNA from 1 species
CUGUGACAUUGUUUAACGGCCGCGGUAUUAUGACCGUGCGAAGGUAGCGUAAUCACUUGUCUUUUAAUUGAAGACCUGUAUGAAAGGCAUCACGAGAGUUUACCUGUCUCUAUUUUCUAAUCAAUGAAAUUGAUCUCCCCGUGCAGAAGCGGGGAUAUAACCAUAAGACGAGAAGACCCUAUGGAGCUUUAAACACUUAAGUUACUAUCUUACUUACCGACAAUCUAAAGACUUAACCUACCCUAAUAGUAAUCUAACUUAAUGUUUUCGGUUGGGGCGACCAAGGAGUAAAAGAAAACCUCCUUAUCGAUUGAGUAUUUUUACUUAAAAAUCAGAACGACAGCUCUGAUCAAUAGAAUAUCUAACGAGUAAUGACCCAGGGUUAUACCCUGAUCAAUGAACCAAGUUACCCUAGGGAUAACAGCGCAAUCCUUUCUAAGAGUCCAUAUCGCCGAAAGGGUUUACGACCUCGAUGUUGGAUCAGGACAUCCUAAUGGUG